AUAUACCCCCCUACACUCCGGUUCCUCCGCGCCGUCCGCACCCACCUGACAGCUGCUCGCUACGUUUUGUUAGCC
rnacentral:sRNA from 1 species